CAGUGGCUAGGACACUGUGCUGUCAGUGUCUGGGCCCGGGUUCCAUCCCUGGUCCAGUGGCUAGGGCUCCCUCCGUGCUGUCAAUGUCUGGGCCCGGGUUCCAUCCCUGGUCCAGUGGCUAGGACACUGUGCUGUCAGUGUCUGGGCCCGGGUUCCAUCCCUGGUCCAUGGCUAGCACACCGCGCUGUCAGUGUCUGGGCCCCGGUUCCAUCCCUGGUCCAGUAGCUAGGAUACCGUGCUGUCACUGUCUGGGGCCCGGGUUCCAUCCCUGGUCCAGUGGCUAGGACACCGCGCUGUCAGUGUCGGGGCCCGGGUUCCAUCCCUGGUCCAUGGCUAGGACACCGCACUGUCAGUGUCUGGACCCGGGUUCCAUCCCUGGUCCAGUAGCUAGGACACCGCGCUGUCACUGUCCAGGGCCCGGGUUCCAUCCCUGGUCCAGUGGCUAGGACACCACGCUGUCAGUGUCUGGGCCCGGGUUCCAUCCCUGUCCAGGGGCUAGGACACCGCGCUGUCACUGUCUGGGCCUGGGUUCCAUCCCUGGUCAGGGAACUAAUAUCCCGCAAGCCAUGUGACGCAGCCCCCAACCCCAGUGCCGCUGCAAAAUGAAGAAUCUUCCCA